rnacentral:rRNA from 1 species
AAUUUUGGACAAUGGGGGAAACCCUGAUCCAGCCAUCCCGCGCGUAUGAUGAAGGCCUUCGGGUUGUAUAGUACUUUUGGCAGAGAAGAAAAGGUAUCUCCUAAUACGAGAUACCGCUGACGGUAUCUGCUGAAAAAGCACCGGCCAACUACGUCCCAGCAGCCGCGGUAAUACUGAGGUUUCAAGCUUUAAUCGGAAUUACUGGGUGUAAAGCGUGUGGUAGCGGGUCGGAAAGGAAAAUGUAAAAUCCCAAGGCUCAACCUUUGAAUUGCAUUUUUAACUGCCGAGCUAGAGUAUGUCGGAGGGGGGUAGAAUUCCACGUGUAGCAGUGAAAUGCGUAGAUAUGUGGGGGAAUACCGAUGGCGAGGGCAGCCCCCUGGGAUAAUACUGACGCUCAGACACGAAAGCGUGGGGAGCAAACA